AAGGCUAUACUUCCAGGGAUCAUCUCUGUAGUGUGUUACUAGGGAAGUUUCUCUGAUCGUGUAGAGUACCAGAAACCAUGAGGAGGAGGUGUAGUGUUCCUUCCUGAGCAUGAAGUUGGCUCUUGGUGUUGCUUUGGAAAUAGUUGGGGAGUAGCUUCCAGAGAACUCAGCCACUCCAAGACGCUUUCUUAGUGCGU
rnacentral:snoRNA from 1 species